AUUCCAGCUCCAAUAGCGUAUAUUAAAGUUGUUGCAGUUAAAAAGCUCGUAGUCGGAUUUUGGCAUCACGCCGAACUGUCUGCCGAUUGGUAAGUACGGUUUGGCGGGUGCUUCCUUCCGGAGGCUCGUUCCCUUCUUCAUUGAAGGGUUCGUUGGUUCCGGGUCUUUUACUUUGAGAAAAUUAGAGUGUUCAAAGCAGGCCUAUGCUCUGAAUAGGUUAGCAUGGAAUAAUAGAAUAGGACUUUGGUUCUAUUUUGUUGGUUUCUAGGACCGAAGUAAUGAUUAAUAGGGACAGUUGGGGGCGUUCAUAUUCCAUUGUCAGAGGUGAAAUUCUUGGAUUCGCUCAAGACUAACUUAUGCGAAAGCAUUCACCAAGGAUGUCUUCAUCA
rnacentral:rRNA from 1 species